CUACGGAGGCAGCAGUGGGGAAUAUUGCACAAUGGGCGCAGGCCUGAUGCAGCCAUGCCGCGUGUAUGAAGAAGGCCUUCGGGUUGUAAAGUACUUUCAGCGGGGAGGAAGGGAGUAAAGUUAAUACCUUUGCUCAUUGACGUUACCCGCAGAAGAAGCACCGGCUCACUCCGUGCCAGCAGCCGCGGUAAUACGGAGGGUGCAAGCGUUAAUCGGAAUUACUGGGCGUAAAGCGCACGCAGGCGGUUUGUUAAGUCAGAUGUGAAAUCCCCGGGCUCAACCUGGGAACUGCAUCUGAUACUGGCAAGCUUGAGUCUCGUAGAGGGGGGUAGAAUUCCAGGUGUAGCAGUGAAAUGCGUAGAGAUCUGGAGGAAUACCGGUGGCGAAGGCGGCCCCCUGGACGAAGACUGGCGCUCAGGUGCGAAAGCGUGGGGAGCAAACAGGAUUAGAUACCCGUGUAGUC
rnacentral:rRNA from 1 species